CCAAGCAAAACCUUUAUGACUAGUCUUGGUAAUGGUUGUUUGAUCCUGCUGGAAAAAGACAGAAACCUUUUGCUCACAAGAUGAUUUUUAAUUUUUAUUCAGAAAGAGAUUUUGAGUUGAUUCUUCUUGCUUCUGGUUUAUAUACCUUUUGCCCAGGCCAUCGUAAUUUUUCAGAUUUUUGAGGUACCAAAAGUAUACGAAGUAUACAGAUUGCUACAGACUGGUCUAUUUUUGACAGAUUCUGUUUUUGUUGAGUUGGUUGCUUGUUUUCAUGAAACUAUGGUUAGUAUCGGAGGGGGG
rnacentral:lncRNA from 1 species